UACGAAGGGGGCUAGCGUUGCUCGGAAUCACUGGGCGUAAAGGGUGCGUAGGCGGGUCUUUAAGUCAGGGGUGAAAUCCUGGAGCUCAACUCCAGAACUGCCUUUGAUACUGAAGAUCUUGAGUUCGGGAGAGGUGAGUGGAACUGCGAGUGUAGAGGUGAAAUUCGUAGAUAUUCGCAAGAACACCAGUGGCGAAGGCGGCUCACUGGCCCGAUACUGACGCUGAGGCACGAAAGCGUGGGAGCAAACAGGGAUUAGAAACCCAGUAACGUCACGACAACCAUGU
rnacentral:rRNA from 1 species